AGUGAACGCUGGCGGUAGGCCUAACACAUGCAAGUCGAACGGCAGCACAGUAAGAGCUUGCUCUUACGGGUGGCGAGUGGCGGACGGGUGAGGAAUACAUCGGAAUCUACUUUUUCGUGGGGGAUAACGUAGGGAAACUUACUCUAAUACCGCAUACGACCUACGGGCGAAAGCAGGGGAUCUUCGGACCUUGCGCGAUUGAAUGAGCCGAUGUCGGAUUAGCUAGUUGGCGGGGUAAAGGCCCACCAAGGCGACGAUCCGUAGCUGGUCUGAGAGGAUGAUCAGCCACACUGGAACUGAGACACGGUCCAGACUCCUACGGGAGGCAGCAGUGGGGAAUAUUGGACAAUGGGCGCAAGCCUGAUCCAGCCAUACCGCGUGGGUGAAGAAGGCCUUCGGGUUGUAAAGCCCUUUUGUUGGGAAAGAAAAGCAGCAGGUUAAUACCCCGCUGUUCUGACGGUACCCAAAGAAUAAGCACCGGCUAACUUCGUG
rnacentral:rRNA from 1 species